GAAGGGUGCAAGCGUUAAUCGGAAUUACUGGGCGUAAAGCGCGCGUAGGUGGUUCGUUAAGUUGGAUGUGAAAGCCCCGGGCUCAACCUGGGAACUGCAUCCAAAACUGGCGAGCUAGAGUAUGGCAGAGGGUGGUGGAAUUUCCUGUGUAGCGGUGAAAUGCGUAGAUAUAGGAAGGAACACCAGUGGCGAAGGCGACCACCUGGGCUAAUACUGACACUGAGGUGCGAAAGCGUGGGGAGCAAAC
rnacentral:rRNA from 1 species